rnacentral:tRNA from 1 species
AGGGGAUUAGUUUAAAGGUAGAACAAUGGACUCCAAACCCAUUUGUGCGGGUUCAAUUCCUGCAUCCCCUGCCA